GCUCAGUUGGUAAAGCACAAGGUUCUUAACCUUGUGGACGUGGAUUCAAGCCCCAU
rfam:Triticum aestivum genome assembly, contig: Triticum_aestivum_CS42_TGACv1_scaffold_130211_2BL